CAGUCGCCGCGGUAAUACGAAGGGGGCUAGCGUUGCUCGGAAUCACUGGGCGUAAAGGGUGCGUAGGCAGGUCUUUAAGUCAGGGGUGAAAUCCUGGAGCUCAACUCCAGAACUGCCUUUGAUACUGAAGAUCUUGAGUUCGGGAGAGGUGAGUGGAACUGCGAGUGUAGAGGUGAAAUUCGUAGAUAUUCGCAAGAACACCAGUGGCGAAGGCGGCUCACUGGCCCGAUACUGACGCUGAGGCACGAAAGCGUGGGGAGCAAACAGGAUUAGAGACCCGUGUAGUCCCUGUCUCUUAUAU
rnacentral:rRNA from 1 species